AACGAACGCUGGCGGCAUGCCUAACACAUGCAAGUCGAACGAGACCUUCGGGUCUAGUGGCGCACGGGUGCGUAACGCGUGGGAAUCUGCCCUUCGGUUCGGAAUAACUCAGGGAAACUUGAGCUAAUACCGAAUGAUGUCUUCGGACCAAAGAUUUAUCGCCGAAGGAUGAGCCCGCGUCGGAUUAGCUAGUUGGUGAGGUAAAGGCUCACCAAGGCGACGAUCCGUAGCUGGUCUGAGAGGAUGAUCAGCCACACUGGGACUGAGACACGGCCCAGACUCCUACGGGAGGCAGCAGUGGGGAAUAUUGGACAAUGGGCGAAAGCCUGAUCCAGCAAUGCCGCGUGAGUGAUGAAGGCCUUAGGGUUGUAAAGCUCUUUUACCCGGGAUGAUAAUGACAGUACCGGGAGAAUAAAGCCCCGGCUAACUCCGUGCCAGCAGCCGCGGUAAUACGGAGGGGGCUAGGCGUUGUUCGGAAUUACUGGCGUAAAGCGNACGU
rnacentral:rRNA from 1 species